rnacentral:rRNA from 1 species
GGUUAAGCGACUAAGCGUACACGGUGGAUGCCCUGGCAGUCAGAGGCGAUGAAGGACGUGCUAAUCUGCGAUAAGCGUCGGUAAGGUGAUAUGAACCGUUAUAACCGGCGAUUUCCGAAUGGGGAAACCCAGUGUGUUUCGACACACUAUCAUUAACUGAAUCCAUAGGUUAAUGAGGCGAACCGGGGGAACUGAAACAUCUAAGUACCCCGAGGAAAAGAAAUCAACCGAGAUUCCCCCAGUAGCGGCGAGCGAACGGGGAGCAGCCCAGAGCCUGAAUCAGUGUGUGUGUUAGUGGAAGCGUCUGGAAAGGCGCGCGAUACAGGGUGACAGCCCCGUACACAAAAAUGCACAUGCUGUGAGCUCGAUGAGUAGGGCGGGACACGUGGUAUCCUGUCUGAAUAUGGGGGACCAUCCUCCAAGGCUAAAUACUCCUGACUGACCGAUAGUGAACCAGUACCGUGAGGGAAAGGCGAAAAGAACCCCGGCGAGGGGAGUGAAAAAGAACCUGAAACCGUGUACGUACAAGCAGUGGGAGCACGCUUAGGCGUGUGACUGCGUACCUUUUGUAUAAUGGGUCAGCGACUUAUAUUCUGUAGCAAGGUUAACCGAAUAGGGGAGCCGAAGGGAAACCGAGUCUUAACUGGGCGUUAAGUUGCAGGGUAUAGACCCGAAACCCGGUGAUCUAGCCAUGGGCAGGUUGAAGGUUGGGUAACACUAACUGGAGGACCGAACCGACUAAUGUUGAAAAAUUAGCGGAUGACUUGUGGCUGGGGGUGAAAGGCCAAUCAAACCGGGAGAUAGCUGGUUCUCCCCGAAAGCUAUUUAGGUAGCGCCUCGUGAAUUCAUCUCCGGGGGUAGAGCACUGUUUCGGCAAGGGGGUCAUCCCGACUUACCAACCCGAUGCAAACUGCGAAUACCGGAGAAUGUUAUCACGGGAGACACACGGCGGGUGCUAACGUCCGUCGUGAAGAGGGAAACAACCCAGACCGCCAGCUAAGGUCCCAAAGUCAUGGUUAAGUGGGAAACGAUGUGGGAAGGCCCAGACAGCCAGGAUGUUGGCUUAGAAGCAGCCAUCAUUUAAAGAAAGCGUAAUAGCUCACUGGUCGAGUCGGCCUGCGCGGAAGAUGUAACGGGGCUAAACCAUGCACCGAAGCUGCGGCAGCGACGCUGAUGCGUUGUUGGGUAGGGGAGCGUUCUGUAAGCCUGCGAAGGUGUGCUGUGAGGCAUGCUGGAGGUAUCAGAAGUGCGAAUGCUGACAUAAGUAACGAUAAAGCGGGUGAAAAGCCCGCUCGCCGGAAGACCAAGGGUUCCUGUCCAACGUUAAUCGGGGCAGGGUGAGUCGACCCCUAAGGCGAGGCCGAAAGGCGUAGUCGAUGGGAAACAGGUUAAUAUUCCUGUACUUGGUGUUACUGCGAAGGGGGGACGGAGAAGGCUAUGUUGGCCGGGCGACGGUUGUCCCGGUUUAAGCGUGUAGGCUGGUUUUCCAGGCAAAUCCGGAAAAUCAAGGCUGAGGCGUGAUGACGAGGCACUACGGUGCUGAAGCAACAAAUGCCCUGCUUCCAGGAAAAGCCUCUAAGCAUCAGGUAACAUCAAAUCGUACCCCAAACCGACACAGGUGGUCAGGUAGAGAAUACCAAGGCGCUUGAGAGAACUCGGGUGAAGGAACUAGGCAAAAUGGUGCCGUAACUUCGGGAGAAGGCACGCUGAUAUGUAGGUGAAGUCCCUUGCGGAUGGAGCUGAAAUCAGUCGAAGAUACCAGCUGGCUGCAACUGUUUAUUAAAAACACAGCACUGUGCAAACACGAAAGUGGACGUAUACGGUGUGACGCCUGCCCGGUGCCGGAAGGUUAAUUGAUGGGGUUAGCGCAAGCGAAGCUCUUGAUCGAAGCCCCGGUAAACGGCGGCCGUAACUAUAACGGUCCUAAGGUAGCGAAAUUCCUUGUCGGGUAAGUUCCGACCUGCACGAAUGGCGUAAUGAUGGCCAGGCUGUCUCCACCCGAGACUCAGUGAAAUUGAACUCGCUGUGAAGAUGCAGUGUACCCGCGGCAAGACGGAAAGACCCCGUGAACCUUUACUAUAGCUUGACACUGAACAUUGAGCCUUGAUGUGUAGGAUAGGUGGGAGGCUUAGAAGUGUGGACGCCAGUCUGCAUGGAGCCGACCUUGAAAUACCACCCUUUAAUGUUUGAUGUUCUAACGUUGACCCGUAAUCCGGGUUGCGGACAGUGUCUGGUGGGUAGUUUGACUGGGGCGGUCUCCUCCUAAAGAGUAACGGAGGAGCACGAAGGUUGGCUAAUCCUGGUCGGACAUCAGGAGGUUAGUGCAAUGGCAUAAGCCAGCUUGACUGCGAGCGUGACGGCGCGAGCAGGUGCGAAAGCAGGUCAUAGUGAUCCGGUGGUUCUGAAUGGAAGGGCCAUCGCUCAACGGAUAAAAGGUACUCCGGGGAUAACAGGCUGAUACCGCCCAAGAGUUCAUAUCGACGGCGGUGUUUGGCACCUCGAUGUCGGCUCAUCACAUCCUGGGGCUGAAGUAGGUCCCAAGGGUAUGGCUGUUCGCCAUUUAAAGUGGUACGCGAGCUGGGUUUAGAACGUCGUGAGACAGUUCGGUCCCUAUCUGCCGUGGGCGCUGGAGAACUGAGGGGGGCUGCUCCUAGUACGAGAGGACCGGAGUGGACGCAUCACUGGUGUUCGGGUUGUCAUGCCAAUGGCACUGCCCGGUAGCUAAAUGCGGAAGAGAUAAGUGCUGAAAGCAUCUAAGCACGAAACUUGCCCCGAGAUGAGUUCUCCCUGACUCCUUGAGAGUCCUGAAGGAACGUUGAAGACGACGACGUUGAUAGGCCGGGUGUGUAAGCGCAGCGAUGCGUUGAGCUAACCGGUACUAAUGAACCGUGAGGCUUAACCUU